UCAGGCUCCCUCUCCGGAAUCGAACCCUGAUUCCCCGUUACCCGUUACAACCAUGGUAGGCGCAGAACCUACCAUCGACAGUUGAUAAGGCAGACAUUUGAAAGAUGCGUCGCCGGUGCGAGGACCGUGCGAUCAGCGUAAAGUUAUUCAGAGUCACCAAGUUGUACGAUGACGAGCGAACCCGCCACCGAUUGGUUUUGAUCUAAUAAAAGCACUCCUUCCGUCUCCGGUCGGAGCUCUAUUUGCAUGUAUUAGCUCUAGAAUUACCACAGUUAUCCAAGUAAUUGUGGGUACGAUCUAAGGAACCAUAACUGAUUUAAUGAGCCUUUCGCGGUUUCACCUUAAUUUGGCUUGUACUGAGACAUGCAUGGCUUAAUCUUUGAGACAAGCAUAUGACUACUGGCAGGAUCAACCAGGUUGUCAUAACCA
rnacentral:rRNA from 1 species